UUGCUCUUGUCUGCAUCAUGAACCAACAGCAUCAGAUCGAGGGCGAUCUGUCUGCCUUUCUGUCCUGGUCUUACGAGCGAGGUGGUAACAGGAAGAAGUCCGUCAACCAGUCGGUGAGGUAGAGCACACGAGAGGCAGGGCACACGCUUGGGUGUUCCUUCUGCUAUUCACACAGUGGUUCAAUUAGAAAUUACAUAAGCUGUGUAGGAGGAAGCUGUCAUGGUCUACGGUGGGUGGCUGGAGUUUCCAUUAGGCUCCUGAACUGACCUGGGAUCCGCCCCUGGGCAGGGCCAACUCCAGCUCCUGCACACCUGGAGCCUAUUGCAGGCUAUCAAGCCAGAGGGAUUUAAACCACACAUCGAUGUUCACUCACUGCCAGUUCGUCAUCAACCCAUUCGCUGUACCCACCCUGGCUCACUCCACCUCCGGACUCGGAAUACCUAGUGAUCAUUUUGGAAAUCCCUCUGUGCCUCACCUGCCUGCCCUCCUGCCAUCACACUCCAUCUGGAGCCCCGGAUCUCAGGUCAGCCUUUCCACGCCACUCAGCCUCCCCUGGAUCUUCAUCAUCCCCCUCUCAAACACUCCAGGUCCCUAACUGCAAAUGUGACUGUUCCCCACUCAGCUCCGUUCCACUUCUCAGGCCUCGUUCCCUCGCCCUAGCCACGUUCCCCUGGGCACGCCACACCAAGGCUCCACGUCUCGUCAUUUUCUGUCUUUGCCACGUUUCCCUUUUUUUUGUUCCCCU
ensembl:lncRNA